rnacentral:sRNA from 1 species
UUAAAAACCUCAAAGUCUUCUCUUCAUCCAUAAAAUACUGAAUAGUCACUGGCAAUGCAAGCUCCCCUUCACUGUCCUGCCAAAGUGCCUCAACUCUGUCCUGGAGAAUUGACAUGACAGGGAGUUUAUUUGCUUUUGUAAUGUAAAUAGUAUCCACU